UCAUAUCAGAGAUUGCCACAGACACCCAGGGCAAUGUGAUUUGUCACUUAAAGAGGACGGCAGAUCAAGAGCAUCUCAUCCUCCGGCUGCUGAGUCAUCCUGCUCUGGCAGUUAUUUAAACAGAAGGCUCCAGGAGACAUACAAUCAACACUCCACUCAGACAAUGCCCAGACCUCCAGAAACCAUGUGUCAAGCUCGGAUUGCCUUAGACAGGUGCAAUUUAAGAACAGCUUUCAUCCUCUUUUCUCUCAUAUUGUCACACUAUGUGUUCUGACUUCUGGCUCCUUUCCUCACAAGAAGCUCACCCAGCUGGAACUCUUAUGGGACCUUGGCACCAGAGACCACAAAUUCCUCUUUGAAGUUUUCUAACAGCAACAAUGGUAUUUCUGACUUGGCUUUCUUGUAUUUCUCUCACGUUAACAAAAUUGGUUCAGCAUCUACCAUGGGCUACAUGCUGAGCUACAGAGUUUCGCUCUGUCGCCCAGGCUGGAGUGCAGUGGCGCGCGAUCUCGGUUCACUGCAAGCUCCACCUCCCGGGUUCACGCCAUUCUCCUGCCUCAGCCUCCUGAGUAGCUGGGACUACAGGCGCCCGCCACCACACCCAGGAAUCCAACUUGCUGUUUGCUAUCACAUGUGCUAUACAUGCUGUUGAUGAAACUGCUAAAGGGGCUGAAUGUGACUGACGUCUUUGGAAGGAUGAGACUUAGCGUGCCUGUACAGUUGUGUCCAAAUGCUGUCCUCAUCUCCCAAUGAAAAGGGUUUUUCCUUAAGCCUCACAACAAUUUACAGCAUUGCCAGCAGCAUUCAGUACAUUCAGAACAGGAUAAUUUCACCCGCAGCUGAACUAGGGCCAUGCCUGGGACAGACAGAGAAUGGCCUUCCAGCAGACAUGCCAAGAAGCAAGCCAGGGUCAGUGAGUGAAGAGGAGGGCAGGCCCAUUUGAAGCAACACAGUUUAUGUAAGUGUGAUCUAACUGCUUUCACUGGAAAUGGGUCAGACUCCAGUUGAGAGAACCAGGGGCCUGAAUGACCCCAGCAAAAUCACUGUGGCAAUUCUUUCAAUCACCUCUGAGAAUAUGGCCCUGUGACGACAUAAUGACGUUUGGAUUAAUUCCAGUCGGCUGUGUUUUCCCCUCCUUUCUUGCCUCCCCGUAGUUGAUUUGCCAAAUUUUUUUUGUUUGCUUAAAUACGCGGAACUAAACAGGAUACAUUAUAUGACAGUCUGUGAUAAAUUUACCACUGGGAAUAGGGAAAAAGUAUGGGAUAAAGAAAUAGGUAUUUUUCGCCUCUCACAGCUGUGAUUCAGUUCUGACUCAAAAGGAAGUGUGCCACCUACUGAAUCACAGAAACCACUUCCUGUGGCUGUUUGGUUUAUUCUGGAGGAGCAUCAGGCCAAGUGCUGCCCUGCCCUGACCCUGACUGGCUCUUCAGAGCCAAGGCAUUCACAGCUUGAGGUGGUUUGGCCUCAGACUCUUGAGAACAUUGCAUAUUAAAUUACAAGUGUUUCGUUUCCUAGCAAGGAGUCUUUAGCAACAUGAAAACGAACGUGUGUUAUUUGCAAACCAAGUAUAUCAUUACUGAACCUGAAUAUCCUUACUUUUUCAUAAGGUACGUAUUCCGGAUGACCACUCUUAAGAUCUGAAUGUACACUGGUUCUGUUUUUCCUGAGGGGAACUUGGGCAGUCUGCAGGGUGGCAUUUACCAGCUGAGGGACUUCAAGAGCACCCUUUAAUCAGUGUGGCAGCACUCAACUUGUAUUCACUCACUCAGAGUAUUUUUGAGCAUGUACUUAUUGCCAUGUGCUGUGCUAGGUAGGGGUAGAGGGUACAGUGGUGAACAAGACCCCACAGCUCCUGACCUCAUGGCUCAUGUGUUCUACACCAUAAGGGAAUCAAGCUGUGUCUCCCGGGGCAGGGGCCUUCCUCUGUUCACCAUGCAGCCCCAGCAUCUAGCACCUGGCGUUGCAUAAAGGAGGCUCUAAAUCAAGCUUGUCCAACCCAAGGCCCACGGGCCACAUGUGGCCCAGGAUGGCUUUGAAUGCAGCCAAACACAAAUUUGUAAACUUUCUUAAAACAUUAUAAGAUUUGUGUGUAUGUGUUUUAGUCCAUCAGCUAUUGUUAGUGUUCAUGUAUUUUAUGUGUGGCCCAAGACAAUUCUUCUAUGUGGCCCAAGGAAACCAAAGAUUGAACACUCCUGCUCUAAAUACUUGUUUGUUGAAUAGAUACAUGAAAAGAAAGAAGGAGAGAAGGAAGAAAGGAGGGCGGAAGGAAAGGAAGAAGGGAGAGAAGAAGAGAAGAAAGAAGCAGAGAAAGGAAGAGAAAAGAAAUUACGGCCAGUGCGGUGGCUCACGCCUGUAAUCCUAGCACUUUGGGAGGCCUAAGCGGGCUGAUCACCUGAGGUCAGGAGUUCGUAAGCCAGCCUGGCCAACAUGGUGAAACCCUAUCUCUACUAAAAAUACAAAAAUCAGCAGGGCAUGGUGGUGCGUGCCUGUAAUCCCAGCUACCUGGGAGGCUGAGGUAGGAGAAUCGCUGGAACCCGAGAGGCGGAGGCUGCAGUGAGUUGAGAUCAUGUCACUGCACUCCAGGCUGGGCAACAGAGUGAGACUCUGUCUCAGAAAAAAAAAAAAAGAAAGAAAGAAAGAAAGAAAGUUACCAUUAGUUUUUUGUUGUAUUUGCAAGCAAAGACAAAAGCACCAAGGUACUUGUUUCCUUCUGUAAUUAGAGUUUCAAAUAGACUAAAAGUUUCUGCUCUUAGGUGGGUCUAGAGACUCUCCAGUACCUCAGGACCUCAGGACACAUGGGGUCUCUUGGUUGUUUUCUUUUCAUUGUUGUUGUUUAUUUUAUUUUUGUUUUUAUUUUUUAACUUUAAAACAAUUUUUUGUAGAUGAAUAUGCUUACAUAUGUUUGGGGGUUUUUUUGAGACAGGGUCUUGCUCUGUUGCCCAGGCUGGAGAGCGGUGGUUUAACCACAGCUCACUGCAGCCUCGACCUCCCAAGGUAGGGACUGCAGGUGUGUACACUGGGGUGCACCACCACACCCAGCUAAUUUUUAAAUUUUUUUUUGUAGAUAUUGUCUCACUCUGUUGGCCAGACUGGUCUUGAAAUCCUGGGCUCGAGCAAUUCUCCUGCCUCGGCCUCGUAACGCGUUAGGAUUACAAGCGUGAACACCGCACCUGGCCAGCAUGUGGUCUCUUAACCAGAGGAGGCCUCUUCUGAACUAGGUAGAGGUCCUGAGAAUUGAUUCUGAGAGUAAAAGGCUCUUUGUUCUCCUCAGAGUAGAUUAGAAUCCCUAAUGAUAGAGCAUCUAUUAUUCCUCUAGUGGUCCAUGCCCAACAGAUUCAUCCAAGAAUAGAUGAAGAUCUUUGUAAUGUUGUGCAAGUAAUCUAAUCACCCCACAGAAGAGCUGUGACUUAAAUUAUCCCAGAGUCGGCCCACCUGUUUUCAUAAAGAUCAAUGUAACUUGUAAAUUUCUUCAGUUCUCCUCACCUAUCAUCAUUUGACUAACAAAACCCAGAAAACUAGGCUAGUUAUGGUGGCCUAUGCAUAUAAUCCCAACUCUUUGAGAGGCCAGGGUGGGUGGAUUGCUUGAGUCCAGGAAUUCGAGACCAGCCUGGGCAACAAAGGGAGACCCUGCCUAUAUCCCAGCUAUGCAGGAGGCGAGGCCAGAGGAUUGCCUGAGCCUCAGAGGUUGAGGCUGUAGUGAGCCAUGAUUGCCCCACUACACUCCAGCCUGGAUGACAGAGUGAGACCCUGCCUUAAAAAUAAUAAUAAUAGUAAUAAUAUUUCAUAAAGAUACAGGAAACUAGAUUAUAAUUGACAUUUUCAAAGUGAAAUACUGUCUAGAAUGGUGCUUGGCCAACAGUAAGCUUUUUGUAAGUGGAAGUCAUUACUACUACUAUUUCUUUCAUUAUUAUUACCAUUACUACUUUUUUUUACAAAAAAAAAACCCUGGACAACACACUGAAACCAUUACUACUUCUACUACUAUAACUUAGGUUGCACCUGAUAGAGCCAGCAAUUUUUCCAAGGUAUGACAAUGGCCAUAUGUUUAAUGAUAUAAUUCUAUGGCUCAGUGUAUCUCAGCCUUUUUAAACCCUGCUCUUCUUUUGACAAUUGUAAAAAUCUUAAACUGACCUCCAGUUGAAAUCCUCUGUCAAGAAGAUAUUGUCGGCCAGGGGCGGUGGCUCACACCUGUAAUCCCAGCACUUUUGGAGGCCGAGGUGGGAGGAUCACUUGAGGUUAGGAGUUCAAGACCAGCCUGGCCAACAUAGUGAAACCCCAUCUCUACUAAAAAUACAAAAAUUAGGCAGGCAUGGUGGUGUGUGCCUGUAAUCCCAGCUACUCAGGAGGCUGAGGUAGGAGAAUUGCUUGAACCUGGCAGGGCAGAGGUUGCAGCAAGCCGAGAUCACGCCACUGCUCUCCAGCCUGGGUGAGACUGUCUCAAAAAAAAAAAAAAAAAAGAAAGAAAGUAAGAAAAAGAAGAAAUCCCAAUCUCUUCUUUUAUGUGGAUUCUUCCUCACUUGAAUAAUACUUUUCUUCCCCAGUAUUCUCCAUAUUAUCCCAGAGUCAGCCCCUCUGUUUUUGUAAAGAUCUACGUAACCUCCUCUAAGUUUCCCAGUUCUCCUCACCUAUCAUAUCAUUUGGCUCAACAAAGGGCAGGAAGCUAGAUUCUAAUUGAUAUUUUGAGGCCGGGAGCAGUGGCUCAUGCCUGUAAUCACAGCACUUUGGGAGGCUGAGGCGGGCAGAUCACUGGAGGUCAGGAGUUCGAGACCAGCCUGGCCAAUAUGGUGAAACCUCGUCUCUACUAAAAAUACAAAAAAUUAGCCAGGCUUGGUGGCUUGUACCUGUAAUCCCAGCUACUCAGGAGGCUGAGGCAGGAGAAUAGCUUAAACCUGGGAGGAAGAGGUUGCAGUGAGCCGAGAUUGCUCAAUUGCACCCCAGCCUGGGUGACAGAGCAAAACUCCAUCUCAAAAACAAACAAACGAACAAACCUGAUAUUUUCAAAAUUGAGGCAAUUAUAACAGCUAUUUAGCCAAGCAUUAUGAUAGCAAUAAUAGCAAGAAAAUAAAUUAGUUAACAAAUGAGUCUCAGAAGCCCAAUGAUUUUUAUUUUAUUUUUAUUUUUUGAACUUUUAUUUUAGAAUCAGGGGAUACAUGUGCAGGUUUGUUACCCGGGUAUAUUGCAUGAUGCUGAGUUUUGGAGUAUGCAUGAAUCCAACCUGUCAUCCAGGUAGUGAGUAUAGUACCCAACAGAUAGUUUUUUUAACAUUUACUUCACUCCCUUCCCCAAUCUUGUAUUCCCCUGUGUCUACUGUUCCCAUUUUUAUGACUGUGCCAACAAUAAUUUUUUUUCUUUUUUCUUUAAAUAGAGAUGGGGGUCUCUAUUUAAAGAGCCUCCCAAAGUGCUAGGAUUACAGGUGUGAUCCAUUGCACCUGGCCCAUGCCAACAAUAUUUGAAACCCUUAUCUGCGUGUACAAGUUUGCUACUGGUUUUGUUUUGCUCAUUAAUACAUCCCAAGCAUCUAUACCUGGCUUGUAGUACCAGCAUGUAGUAGGUGCUUAAUAAAUAUUUAUUGAAUAAAUAAAUUAGUUUGACAUUAGUUUAACAUCUCAAGUAAAACAAAAUACCAUUCAAUUAAUUCUCUUCUUCUACUUUUUUCUUUUAAGAGAGACAAAUAGUCACACAUACAUCAGCAGGAGAGGAUACAAUUUCCUGUGUUUAAGUUUUUAUGAGUUACUUUAGUUCAAAUGUCACAGAAAAUUAUAUUGAACUCUUGACCAAUCUAUCUAUUUUUUCCAUUGGAGUAUUGACCCAAAUAAGAAAUAGCAUAAAGGAAAAAUUAUUUUUUGGCAGAAAAAUAUUCUCUCUAAAUUCUUGUGUGUUUUGUUUUGAUUUUUUCCUUAGUGACUGGAGGCCAGUUUCAAUCCACUGAAGCACAGAUUCCAAAUUUUCAAUCUGGUUUUCUUGAGUAGUGACUGAGUGCCAAAAAUGAAGCAAUGACACAACAUCACCAUCAAGACACUCCCCAGCACGCACACACAUGCCAGAGUCCAACACCAAGAUACUCCCCAGCACGCACACACACGCCAGAGUCCAGGCCAUAUUCGGGUGGCUUGCAAGCUUCUUCCCCCCAAGUAUUUACUCUCAAAAUAAUGGUUUUUGUUUUGUUUUGGUUUGGUUUGGUUUGUUUUUUUCCAAAUACAUUUCUUCCCUAUAUCUUUAACCAAUUCUCAUAAAAUUUUGUCUAAUACACUGGUCAGUGUAUUCCAGACCCUAAAAGAUAACAUAAUGAAACUAUCUAUGACUAAAAGGUAAUCAGGAUCUUCUACUUAUCCUUUUUUCCUCCCUCUUAAACUUUAAUUUUGAUACAUUUGGGAGUGAAAUGAUGACAAUAAAUGCAAAGUAAUUAUUGAAGAAACAGUAAUUUUGUAUUAGCUUACUGAAAAAAAAAAAAAAGAUAACCAAAUAUAUUUUGGCAGCCCCAAACGAGUCACAUGUGAAAUGCAGUGGGAGAGCAGUGUCCUGAAGGAAAAGGUGGCCUGCUGGACAGCCAAGAGAACAAACAUCCACUGCAAGUAAUAUGAGCUCUAAGUUUGGACUAGGCCUAUGUCUGCUCUGAGACUUGGGGCAAUUCACUUAAUCAGAGCCUUAAUCAGCUACGGACUAGCAAUAUCCAUACCCGCUACUUAUUUUGUAAAUCUCCUUUCUAAAGUUAACUCUAUUUAUUGUUCCAUAAUCCCAUAAAUUCUAGAAUCUUUUCCUGUUAUAGCCAAGUUGUCUAUCAUUGACAGAGAUAUUCACCUGGUUGUUUUGGCUUCUCUAAUCCUCCUGGUGAGAACACCUCCAAGGGAGCUUUCAGUGGCAUUUAAGGUCACUUGUGCUCUUGGUCCUAGAAACUGCCUUGAUAGUGGUUUUAGCUCACAUGAGGUAAGUCUUUAUUAUAUGCCCAACCUCUUUAUGCAUUACUUCAUUUAAUUGUAUACUAAUCCUUUGUCAUAGGUUAUCAGAGUGUUUGAUUAUAAGUUACAGGAAGAAAAAAAAAAACAAACUCCAAUUGACUAAAACAAUGGGGCAUUUUUUGACUCACAUAACAGAGAGUCUAGAGAGAAGGCACCUUCAGGUUUGGCUGAUGAAUCCUGUAUCUCUGCCUUGUCUCCAGGCCCCCAGGUUCUGCCUCUGUCCUGACAUCCAGUGUUGGAUUCCUCUUCACAUCAACUCCUCUCUAGCUGUGGCAAUUCCUUGAACCACACUGAUUGCUAUAAAGUGGAAGAGGAAUAGAUUGAAUUUUGGGGAGUCAACUACAAUGUGUACUACAGGUAAAUACUAUGAAUUUCCAAUUCACAGAUGAGAAAACUGAGGCAUGUGGUGGGAGGGAGGUUAUGUAAUUUGCCCAGUGUCACAGUUGAACCUAGGCAAAGGCCUAUCUCCAGGUCUAAACAAUUCAGUGGCCUCCUGUGUACAUUUCUGUCUCUCCUUUUUUAUCCACUGUGUCACCGAGGCUGGAUUGCAGUGGCUCGAUCAUGGAGAUCAUGGCUUUCUGUAGCCUUGAACUCCUGGGCUCAAGUGAUCCUCCUGCCUCAGCUUCCUGAGUGGCUGGGACUACAGGCUUGACAACACACCCGGCUAUCCCGUGUAUAUUUCUUGAGGGCUUAUGAUAUAUAAGAGAAACUCCAAAAUAAGAGGACGGUGUGCUAAGGGGAAGACCAAAGCACUAUCAAGAGGUAGAUUCAAUCGUACCCCUUCUAUUUACUAGUUGUGUGACUCUUUUGAAAAUGAGAAUAAUAGGCCAGGCUCGGUGGCUCCUGCCUGUAAUCCCAGCACUUUGGGAGGCUGAGGCAGGUAGAUCACCUGAGGUUAGAAGUUCAAGACCAGCCUAGCCAACAUGGCAAAACCCCAUCUCUAUUAAAAAUACAAAAAUUAGCCGGGAAUGGCAGCAUGUGCCUGUAGUUCCGGCUACUCAGGAGGCUGAGGCAGGAGAAUCACUUGAACCCAGGAGGCAGAGGUUGCAGUGAGCCGAGAUUGCGCUACUGCACUUCAGCCUGGGUGACAGCGAGACUCCAUCUCAAAAAAAAAAAAAAAGGAAGAAAAGAAAAGAAAAUGGGAAUAAUAAAACUUACUUACUGGAGCAGUAGCAAAGAUUAAAAUUUAGACCAUGCAGAAGAAUGUUUUUCAAAAUGACAUGACCUGGUAAUAGGAUAGAAAUGCAAAUUCCUGUUACUGCACCAGACCCACCAAAUAAGAAACUCUGGGGAUGGGACCCAGGACUAAGUACUUUAAUAAGCACUCCAGGUGAUUCUAAUGAUUGUUAAAGUUUGAGAACCACUGGUCUAACACAUUGCCUGGUACAUAAGCUCUUAUUUUGUUGUUAUUGUUCUAAGGACAAUGUGUGUAUUGACUUCUAUUUCCAGGAGUUCAUGACUUGGAGAACUAGGGAAAGGAAGACAAAAAUUCUUUAAUGCAGAACGAUACUGAUUGAUAAAUACCUGAAUAUAAUACAGGUUAAAUGUGCUUUGAAGAUUUAUAAAAGGUUGAAUUUAUUUCCAGCAAGAUGACUCUCAGAAGCCUUUAUAGAUUAGAGAAGAAAUGGAAAGGGGUAAAAAUAAUUAGGAACUAUAAAGCAGGGCAGACAAGUUUUCAAUGGUUACUGCCAAUGUGUAUACAGAAAGUUAGCUUGGCCAGGCAAAGUGGCUCAUGCUUGUAAUAUCAGCACUUUGGGAGGCCAAGGCGGGCAGGUCACCUGAGAUCAGGAGUUUGAGACCAGCCUGACCAACAUGGUGAAACUCUAUCUCUACUAAAAAUACACAAUUAGCCCAGCAUGGUAGAGCAUGCCUGUAAUCCCAGCUACUCAGGAGGCUGAGGCAGGAGAAUCGCUUGUACUUGGGAGGCAAAGGCUGCAGUGAGCUGAGAUCGUGCCAUUGCACUCCAUCCUGGGAAACAAGGGUGAAACUCCGUCUCCAGAAAAAAAAAAGUUACCUUGAAAUAUAUCAAUACAAACAAAUAAAUUAGAUAUUUCAUAUUGUACAGGAACAAAACCCAUCAGAAGAUGUCAGAAGAUAAGGAUUUUUGUCCUGAUGCUACACUUACCAGCUGUCCCUCAGUGUUCUACUUCUUAAAAAAAGAGAGGUUGGUCCUGAUCCCUGGUUCUUAACCAGGGGAAAAUGAAGUGGGGCCAGGGCAUGUGCAGACUUAAAAAUUACACAGGGGAAUGUAGGCACGAUCUGUUUAAGAAAUACUGGACUAAAUGGUCUCUAAUCUGUGAUUGUAGAUUAAAGAAUAAUCUACAAUCUACACCGUGUUGGCCAGGCACGGUGGCUCACACCUGUAAUUCCAGCACUUUGGGAGGCUGAGGUGUGUGGAUCACAUGAGGUCAGGAGUUCGAGACCAGCCUCACCAAUGUGGCAAAACCCCCUCUCUACUAAAAAUACGGAAAAUUAGCUGGGUGUGGUGGUGCAUGUCUGUAGUCCCAGCUACUCGGGAGGCUAAGGCAUGAGAAUUGCUUGAACCUGGGAGGUGGAGGUUGCAGUGAGCCAAAAUCACGCCACUGCACUCCAGCCUGGGUGACAGAGUGAGACUCUGUCUCAAAAAAAAAGAAAAAAUAAAUAAUCAAAUGUAAAGUUAGCACAUAAAGGAGGCAUGUACAUAUUAUUAAAAUCUAUAUGACUACCUCUCCUUUUUCAUUUUUGGCUCAAUAUCUGUAUCUGAACACCUAAUUAAUGAAAGGAAAACAUUUGUAAUAUGUAGCAACUAAAAUGUCACCUUCUCUGUGGGGAUCACAAAGUCCUUGGCAAUCACUUCCAUACCAGACAAGUGAGUAUUGUCCUUCUCCUUUUCCAGAUGGAUAAACAGAGGCAACCCGAGGAUAAAGGCCUUGCUCAGUGUCACACAUUUCAGUCACUAAAUAAGACACAAUGGAUGCCAGUAUUCUCAUCCCCUCACAAAUAAAGAGCCUUCAAGCUCUUGCAGUCAACAAGAACUUUUGGAAUGAUUUCACUGCCUGAAAAGGCAGAUACAUAGGUGACACCCACAAAUAGGAAGAAAAUCAACCUGAACCUGAGUGUGUGGGCUCACUGACUCUAAGCAGUAGAGACAGAAGAAAAAGUUUUAGCAAAGAAGGGUUCUGAAAGAAAAUAAAUAUAGCUCGUUAUCAAGUGCUGUUUUUACACAGUAAAACAUGGGCAAAAUUACUCUUCUUUAAGUAGUAAUUCUUAUCUCUUGAUUAAGUCACCUACUCAUUCAUUUAAUAAAUACAUACUGAUUGUUUUCUAUGUGUUGAGCACUCAUCUCUGUAUUGGAAAUAUAAUAAUGACCAAAGUUGACAAUAGUAAUAACAAUAAUAGCUAAUAUAGCAGGCACUAAUAAUUAUUUGUUGAGUAAUAUGUCAAAAUUCAGUGUGAACAGCAUUCUAUUUGGGGCUGCAUCCACUGACUAUAACACAGCUAAUCUAUCUGAAAUGUUCCAGCUUUGGGCCUCUCUAACAGAAGAAGCUGUUGUUGGGCCUGCCUCUAGUUGGCGAUGCAUCCACCAAUGAGAAUGAAUUUAUGAUCGACCACUCUUCCUGUAAAGGCCGCUGGAACUGACAGCAUUGUGAUUUUCUUUUACUGUUAGUUUUAAAUUACUAGAACCAACUCAAUUACUAGAACGAACUUUACUUCUUUGUUUCCUACUUAUCAAAACAGUAAAAACAACAAGUAAAAGAAAUGCCAUCUUAAUAUUGUUUUGAUGACAAAACAGUAUUCCUUUUAGUUGUGCUUCAAAUGGAAUAAGAUGCAAACAGGCUUGGUAUGGUGGCUCACCCCUGUAAUCCCAGCCCUUUGGGAGGCCAAGGUGGAAGGAUUGCUUGAGGCCAUGAGUUUGAGACCAGCCUGCGCAACAUAGCAAGACCGUGUCUCUACAAAAAAUAAAAAAUUAGCUGAGUGUAGUGGUGUGUGCUUGUGGUCCCAGCUACUUUUGAGGCUGAGGAGGGAGAAUCUCUUGAGCCCAGAAGGUCGAAGUUGCAGUGAGCCGUGAUCGUGCCAUUGCUCUCCAGCUUGGACAACAAAGCAAGACCCUAUGUCAAAAAAUAAAUAAAUAAAAGACAUAAACAUAUCUGAGAUUAACUUUCAGUGGUAAAUUUGUUCCAUAUAUGAUUUUUAAGGUUAAAUGCUUUGGAAGCUUUAAAAACCAUUUCAGCCCUUUUAAAUGCCAACUUACACUGAUGAUGCUCUCAGAUGUUAGGAAAUCUUUUGAGCAGAAAAUGGAAGUGGGGGUGUUGAGGCAGGGAGGAGAGUGAUGCAAUAUUCCUUAGUGUCAUCCUGUGAUUUCACAAUUUGUUUUUCAAUCUGUUUGGACUUUCAAAAGGGAAGACUCUCAUAUGUCAACAAGCCCAUGAACUGAAGCUUAAAACACUGGAAACAACAACUGUAGAGUUUCAAGUAUAUGUACAUUUAUGUAUUCAUGUUCCUUGAUGGGAAUGCUGGCUGGUGUGAAUGUUCAAUCUCCUGAGAAAUGUAAAUUUUUCUCUGACAGAUUUAUUAGCUUGCUGUAUCUGAGCACAUGAGCAAAAACAAUGCCUAAUAAGAAAACUUUCUCUCUCCUUCAAAGUCAAACUUGGGAGAAAUGAAGGGAAAUCGAGUUUUCUUUGCUUGACAGUGUUCAACAUUCUUGUAGUCAGUGUGCUCAUGAAGAUUGCAAACUUUUUUUUUUUUUUAGAGCAGCUAGGACUACAGGCGCGCACCACCACACCCAGCUAAUUUGUGUAUUUUUAGUAGAGAUGGGGUUUUAACUAUGUUGGCCAAGCUUGUCUCAAACUCCUGACCUCAAGUGAUCCAUUCGACAGCUCUUUCUUUUUUUUUUUUUUUUUUGAGACAAAGUCUCGCUCUGUCACCCAGGCUGGAGUGCAGUGGUAUGAUCUCAGCUCACUGCAACCUCCGCCUCCUGGGUUCAAGCAAUUCUCAUGCCUUAGCCUCCCGAAU
rnacentral:lncRNA from 10 species